rnacentral:lncRNA from 1 species
CUGUUGCAAGGAAAUGGACAUUGCUGUUUAUGAAACAUAGAUGAAGAAUCUGGAUCUGCAGUAUUUACCAUGAUAACAAUUUCACUUUUUUGGAGGGAUGGGGGGAAGGAGUAACAUUAACUCUCAAACAAACUCUUCUGUUGGAUAAAUUGAUGCUGAGGAAAAUAAGUAAGAUAUUACUAGUAUAAUUAUAAAUUAAAGUAUUAAGUUUUGUUUAGUUAUGAAUAAUAUUUUACUGUUUUUAUUAGCUUAGUUAGGAUAUGUAUUUAGAUUAUAUGACCUAGUUCUAUAUGCACUGAAUUUGUUAACUUGUGACUUUCUUUUUGUGUUAGAAUUUUUUUUAGAGCAUUAUAAAUUUCUAAUGCUAUAACUAGCAAGAAAGCCAGUCAAUUAAUAAUGUUAUAUUUGAUAACUAUCAUCUUUUGUUGGACUCCAAUUAAUUUUUCUAGUGGAUUCUAGGUUUCUUAAGCUUGGAUUAUAUCAAGUAACAAUUUCACAAAUAUUGACUGAGAUCAAAUAAAUUCUAUUUUGCAUUUUCUUGCCCUACACCAUAAAGUUUCAUCAAAUCCCAAUAUGAUGUAUAACUAUGGUACUUGACAGUCAUAAAUCGGAUUACUGGCAUUGUACUGCAUGAAGGUUUCUAGACUUGAAUUUUUGAAUUAAAUAAAAGCUAUUUCAAGGUUGCCUCAUAAUAUCUAAAGAGAUAUAGAAAGAGCUACAACAAACAACGUUCUAGGUAUAAAUAACCCCGAUAAACCCGACAAAAGUGAUAAUCCAGGUCCAUGUUUCCUCCUAAAAAAGGAAGAAUCUAGGAACUAUUGCUCGAAGCAGGAGAGGUGUAACAGAUAUUUAAGGAAAUGAUUUAGGAGAUAACUAAAAAGAGGUGUCUAUUUGAUUGGUGGCUGUCCAGGCAUCUUUCUUUUUUAGAAAGAAAAAAUGGGGCUGCUUCAAGAAUCUUAACGUGGAUAACCAUUUUGGAAGCCAUUUGGGUUUUGGAAUCUGGCUAGACAUCCAAACGCAAUGUUGGUUAGUAGAGGAUACAAAAUUUACAACCUUGGUUUUAUGCUUGUUUGUAAGACUGUUAUUUUGCUUGUGGUGUAUUACUUACAACCUUGGUGCUUCGUUCUCCUCUUUAUACCAUUGAUUCAUAAAUAAUUUAUCAUAAUGAUGCUUAUAGCAUGAAAAUGCUGAAAUGCUUUUAUAGUGUAACACGAAUGAUUAUAGUGUAUUAAUUAAGCUUCCCAGCAAUUAUUUCUAUCUUCAACAUAUUCAUGCUUCAAAUUGAAGAUGCAAGAUUAAUUAUUCCUGGCCCCAGAAUUUCCCCUGUGAGAAAUUAAUAACCAUCUUACAGAUAUUUCAACAAUUGUCUGUUUAAUUACUUUUUCUUAGCUGAAGGAUCUAUGAGCAUUUUACCCAGGAUGGCCAAAAGUAAAUCAUAUCUAUGGCAACUGGUAAAGCUAAGCUGAAACUGUGAAACGAAACCGCGCUUAUUCUUUUUUUUUUCUCUGUCUAUGCAGAUGUAGAACUUAAUUACUGAUAUAAAUAUAACAAGAAAUGCUUUAGAAAAUGGUAAAAAAAAUUGCUUACCGUCUAAAAGUGCUUCGGACACUUCAUCUCUUGUUACAUUCAAUGCCCUCAAAAGUAUAGCAAUGUUCUGUGACUUCUUUGGAUCCAACACUCUGUUUUCCUGCUCAACAGGAGGUAGAACAGAUCUUCUUAUGGGUUCCUUUGGCACUGAAUUGGUGGAAUUGCAGCCAAAAAGAGUCUCCAUCAUGUCCUCAUUUAAUCUGCAGAGAC